rnacentral:rRNA from 1 species
GAUGAACGCUGGCGGCGUGCCUAAUACAUGCAAGUCGAGCGAAUGGAUUAAGAGCUUGCUCUUAUGAAGUUAGCGGCGGACGGGUGAGUAACACGUGGGUAACCUGCCCAUAAGACUGGGAUAACUCCGGGAAACCGGGGCUAAUACCGGAUAACAUUUUGAACCGCAUGGUUCGAAAUUGAAAGGCGGCUUCAGCUGUCACUUAUGGAUGGACCCGCGUCGCAUUAGCUAGUUGGUGAGGUAACGGCUCACCAAGGCAACGAUGCGUAGCCGACCUGAGAGGGUGAUCGGCCACACGGGGACUGAGACACGGCCCAGACUCCGACGGGAGGCAGCAGUAGGGAAUCUUCCGCAAUGGACGAAAGUCUGACGGAGCAACGCCGCGUGAGUGAUGAAGGCUUUCGGGUCGUAAAACUCUGUUGUUAGGGAAGAACAAGUGCUAGUUGAAUAAGCUGGCACCCUGACGGUACCUAACCAGAAAGCCACGGCUAACUACGUGCCAGCCGCCGCCGUAA